GAUUUAGGAAGUGAUGAAAAGAUGACAUUGCAGGAACUUGUACUCUUUGCAGUUCAGGUGGUAAUGAUCCUAAUGAUAUUUCUGAUGUCAACAAGUAUUCUAAAGAAAUUCUUGAUGACAAAGGUGAAGCUACUUUACCCCCUGAGGAGAGCACAGAAAUUGGGAAGAUUUAGACCAAGUUGAUGAUGUUGGUGACGAAGAGGAAGCUGAGCUUGUUGAAGUGACAUUAACAUUAGAUGAAAAUGAUGCCAAGGGUAAAGCUGAUGAAGAAGAUGAUUCACUUUCUAUGCUGGAGGAGAUUAUUAUGAAGAUCAGACAGUUUUGUUGGAACAUCUUUAUCUUCUGUGCAGUGUGCUAUAUUGGCACAUCUCUAUACUAAUCACUGUAUGCCCCUCAUUACCCUCUCGUCUCUGUUCUAAACUGUGCAGCUAACUGCACUGUUUUGUGUCCAUUGUGUUGGCACCUGCAUUGUGGACAUUACAAUUUGCUACACUGGGCCGUGCAACUUGAAUGCAGAAUUGUUGAAAAUUAUUUUAUGGUGUAUUGAACUACACCUGCCUAUACAAAUUCAGUCUCCUGAGGCAAAAAAUCCUACAUUUAUUUAUAUAUACAUUGACUUAAAUGCAAAUGACAA